CGCCGAGCUGGCGGGGGCCUGACCCCACGGGCCCCGGCAGGGCCGGGGAGGCGCUGCCGUGACUUUGACCGGUCCCACCGGCUGCCCGGUGUC
rnacentral:tRNA from 1 species